rnacentral:rRNA from 3 species
AACCAGAAGGCGCAAUGAGAGUGAAGGCACGUUCGGCGUGCUGAGGUGAGAGCUGUCGGUGGCAGCGCAUCAUCGACCGAUCCCAUCCGCUCCUAACGGUGCGGAGGGAAUCGAGUGAGAGUGUACCUGUUGCGACCCGAAAGAUGGUGAACUAUGCCUGAAUAGGGUGAAGCCAGAGGAAACUCUGGUGGAGGCCCGUAGCGAUUCUGACGUGCAAAUCGAUCGUCAAAUUUGGGUAUAGGGGCGAAAGACUAAUCGAACCAUCUAGUAGCUGGUUCCCUCCGAAGUUUCCCUCAGGAUAGCUGUAGCCCAAAGCAGUUUUAUCAGGUAAAGCGAAUGAUUAGAGGUAUCGGGGAAGAAACUUCCUCGACCUAUUCUCAAACUUUAAAUAGGUAAGAAGUCCGACUUGCUCAAUCUGAAGCCGGACACAGAAUGCUGGGUUACCAGUGGGCCAUUUUUGGUAAGCAGAACUGGCGAUGCGGGAUGAACCGAACGCCGAGUUAAGGUGCCAAAGUCGACGCUCAUCAGAUCCCACAAA